UACAGAGGGUGCGAGCGUUGUCCGGGAUCACUGGGCGUAAAGAGCGCGCAGGCGGUCGUGCAAGUCGCGUGUGAAAGCCCCCGGCUCAACUGGGGAGGGUCACGCGAUACUGCUCGACUUGAAGGCAGGAGAGGGAAGUGGAAUUCCCGGUGUAGUGGUGAAAUGCGUAGAUAUCGGGAGGAACACCAGUGGCGAAGGCGACUUCCUGGCCUGUUCUUGACGCUGAGGCGCGAAAGCUAGGGUAGCAAACGGG
rnacentral:rRNA from 1 species